GGUCGGUUGACUGAGUGGCUAAGUUACGGCCGGCAAAGCCGUUUAGGGUGGUUCGAAUCCAUCACCGACCU
rnacentral:tRNA from 1 species